AAUUCCAUGGUGAAAAAGCGGGAUGAUAAGAAAUUAAAAUAUAAUACGUAGAUAUGAAACUAGAUAAUAUGGAUCAUGAUGAUCAAGCAUCUUUUGGCUUAUAACUCACAUGAAAGUUUAUAAUAAGUUUAACCUUGGAGCCAUUCUGAUUAAGCUUUUCGAACCACGAUAAACGUGGGAACACAGAAUGCUUGACAUGAAUACGGAAUUCUGUACCAAAGAUGUUAAAAUUCAACUCAAAUAUGCUAUUCGACCGCUAAAACGGAGUAUUUCGAUAUACUUACAUAGUUGGGAAGAAGACUCGUAAAAAUAAGUUCCUACGAAGUUUGGUAACGAACUAAUGGCAUAAUAUUAUGACAAUCAAUAUUUUUUAAAUGUUCAAGAAAGUGACAAAGAUAUACUUAUGUUUAAUAAAUAAAUAUAUCAAUUAUAGAAUAUAGAUGAAAUA
rnacentral:misc_RNA from 1 species